AACGAUUCCACCGACGACGGCAGUUCAUUUUCUUGUGAUGUCAAUACAAGUAGACCCGAGUUGUGUAUUUGCGGAAGAUGUCCAGACUACUCUACAUUGCCGCUAAAUGAGCGACUUUGUUGCUGUUCAACAGAAUAUUUGUCGAACAAGUCCCCAAUUAAUAACACUUGCGUGACACAACACCCGGACUUCAAUGUCAUUUGCAUGCACCGUGGAGUGUUAGAAACUGCGUACGCAAGAAACCAACUGGAUAGAAAGAGGACCUACAAUCUUGGAGCAAGUAUGUCAAACAGGAUGUACCGUUUUACUGCUUACAGACAGGUUAUUGCUUGGGGACACUCCUGGAAGCGGAUCGGUAAAGGUGUUAGGAAAGUCAUACCAGCGUGUGUGGUGCAUUCAAUAAGAGCCCAAUACCCAAGAGGAGAAGAAGAAGCAGAUUAUGUUGGUUUUAAAGAAAAUUCUAUUUGAUAUACACACUGUAUCACGCUAUUUUUUUUAUUAAAUUUUUGUUUGUGAAUAACA